AUUUUUUUCAUUUUAUACCUGUGAAUUUUCUGCAAUCCAAAGAUGGCAGCAAAUAAGCCUAAAGGACAGAAUUCAUUGGCUUUACACAAAGUCAUCAUGGUGGGAAGCGGUGGUGUAGGAAAAUCUGCUUUAACACUACAGUUUAUGUAUGAUGAGUUUGUUGAAGAUUAUGAGCCCACCAAAGCAGACAGCUAUAGGAAAAAGGUGGUUCUGGAUGGGGAAGAAGUCCAAAUUGAUAUAUUGGACACAGCAGGGCAGGAGGACUAUGCUGCAAUUAGGGACAACUACUUCCGAAGUGGAGAAGGCUUUCUUUGUGUCUUCUCUAUUACAGAGCUGGAAUCCUUUGCAGCAACUGCAGACUUCAGGGAGCAGAUCUUAAGAGUAAAAGAAGAUGAGAAUGUUCCUUUUUUGCUAGUUGGUAACAAAUCAGAUUUGGAAGAUAAAAGGCAAGUUUCCGUAGAGGAAGCAAAAAACAGAGCUGAUCAGUGGAAUGUUAACUAUGUGGAAACUUCUGCAAAAACACGAGCUAAUGUUGACAAGAAGACAAUCUGCUUCUGAACAGUGAGGAAUGCUGUCUGAUCCUCAGCCAGAAUAAAACAGCUUACAAAAGCAGGUGUUUUUUGAUUUAAUGAGAGAAAUUAGAGCCAGAAAAAUGGAAGACAGCAAAGAAAAGAAUGGGAAGAAGAAAAGAAAAAGCCUAGCUAAGAGGAUCAGAGAAAGAUGUUGCAUUUUAUAAUCAAAACCCUGAAUUCCUUUCCUACCCUGACCAUACUAAUAAAAACCAUAAUUUAUAAGCAUGCCAUUGAAGGCUCAAGUGACUGAAAUUACUCUAACAUGUUGGAAAUUGUAAUGUACCACUAAAAGCAUGAAUUGGAGCUGCACUGAGAGUCAAAUUCACUGAAAAAAAAAAUGUGGCUUCAAGAGAAGCAAAGUUCAGUCCAUUUCAUAGUUGCCUACCUUCUCACAUUUCUUCUGAAUGUAGUGUUUCAUAGGCAGUCUUUUCUUUAAUAGUGAACGGAGAGGGGAAGUAUUACUUUGUGGGUUCUUGUAAAGCAUACUUUUUUUUAUCACUGGUAAUUGUCAAUUCAUCUUGUCUUUUGUUGCCUUGAAAAUUACAAUUGUGAACGUGAUACCUAACAAAGCGGUAUGCAGUUGUUUUGCCAUGGAGUUACACAAAUUAGAAAAGAAUAAUGUAUAUGCAAACAGUUAUGUUGGGGAAAAUUACAUGUGGUUCUGCAUUACCUGAUUAACCUAGCAGAGUAACGUAAUCUUUUACAUUGAAACAUUUGAAUAUGCCUUAAUUUUAAAACCUGAACAUAGCAGGUUGCUUAAUCAAGGGUGUAUUUUCAACUUUGUUGCAUGGAGACUGUCCCUGUGCAUCAGUGCAAGACUGCCCUCUCUGUGGAGUGCAGUUAUGUGAAUGAUUUUGCUAACUAGCUGUUUGCUAGCAGUGUCUGUUCUUUAAAUGUGUGCCAUACUCUGGUAUUGUGAAUAAUACAGAGCGUAUUCUGUCGUCUGUAACUUGGUAGACUAUACAGUAUCUUAAAACUAAAAGGUCAGAAUACAUAUAAGACUGAAGUCAUAAGCCUAUGGCACAUCUAAGCCUGGAAUGGGUGUUUAAAACUUAAUGUGCUGAUACCUUGAAACUUCCCUUUUGCGAGUAGAUUUUUGUCUAGAUGUUCCUUGGGUUUUAACUCCCUGGAGUUGGGUGGAAUGGAGCUGAUUCAGUAGCGCUAAUGUGUUUUGAGUUAAGAUGUUGUCUGGGAAAUUGUGGUGUCAUCAGUUAAUUUCUUUUGUGUUCCUAAUACUCAGCUAUGGGAACGUGGUGUGUUAUGCUGAAGCUCUUUGCAGGUUUUGUACUGUUUAGUUUAUGUUGAUUUUCAAAUGGGGAACAUUGUAGCUACUUUUUCUAGUUAAUGUUGAUAUUAAACAAUCAGACAUGCUUUGCAAUACAGAAACAUUUACCAUGUGCAUCCAAAAUCCCCAAACAAAACGUACUGCCUCAGUUGCUUCAGAACAGCAAGAAUACUAGCACACAGUUAGUAUGCUGCAUCUUAACUAAAAAUAUACCAGAACGUUUGAGGGUUUUGGACUCCUCUGGGGUAAGACAGGUUAGAUCAAUUCCACAAACUGUUAUACUUUUUAUACAUGUGUAAGCCUAUAACUGACAGUUUAAAAUGUGCUCAAACAAACUAGGUAGCAAAUAUUUAACUUUCAUGCUAACAGACAUUUUAGGGACUCAAGUCUUAGAAGUUAUAUUUGUCAUGUUAAAUAUUUAUCAAUAAGAAUUUUGUAUGUGCAUUUAGUAGACUGCCAAGUGCAGAAUUAAAGUUACUCAUGUAACUAUGGCAAAUAAGCCAGUCUUCAUCUUACUGUGUACUCAUUUGGGUCUAUUUGGCCAGGGAGUCUAACCACUAACAUUAUGACUUUGCUUUGGAACCUGUAUACUAGGAACUGAGGUGUUAUGAAGCCACUGGACACAUGAAACUUGUCUUGGCUGAUGCCUUAUCCUGUCCUUUUAUUUGCUAUUUGAGCCAUUGAAAGAUGAAUAAACUUCCAUUUUUUUAAAA